rnacentral:lncRNA from 1 species
AUUUACCUAAACCAAAAAAUAGGCAGAUACCUCUGUACGACGAAUUUCGUGUAUUAAAAUAAAGAAAUUAUUACAAAUUGUAUUUUGAUAAAAUACAAGUGAUGUCAACCUUCCUGUAAUUGCAAAAAUUGUAAAAAUCCUAUAAUUAAUUAUCUAAAUAUUUGAAGACAAGGGCCACACGGCUUAAAUCCUGGUAUUCGAGAAUUUGUUGAAAAUUUGAUUUGUUGAUACUUGACUUGUUCGGUACUUGAACUCCAGAGUCUGAACUUGAACUUGAUUUGAAGAAAGAUUUGAAUUUUCUUGGACUUGGCCUGAACUUAUUUAAUUUGAAGAAGAUUUUGAUCUUCGUAAUAGAUCUGAGAGAAUUUCUUCCCUUCCUCUAACCUUGGAAUUUCUUCAACACUUCUUGUUGCCUUAUCUGCUUUCGCUUCCUCUUGCUUUGCCUUUUUUGUCUUCUGGACCAUUUAUCCUAUUUAUAGGAAAAUUUUUAUGUUAAUUUUGAUAAUACUCAAUUAUAUUUAAUUAAAAUAAAUAAUUGAGUAAUGAUUUAUUUAUUUAAAGAGUGAGAUGGACCUUUGAUUUUUUAUGGACUUUAGUAGACUUAAAAUUUAAUUGAGCUAAUGAUUUAAAUCGACCUAAUCCAUUUUCUUUAAUUUUAUUUUUAUUUUUUUUCUUUUUUUACAAAUGCUCCCUCAAGAUUUAUUUAUUAAUUAUGAAAUAAAUAAACUAAUAAAUCUUGAUUCUCGAUUUUCUUUAAUUUUUUUUUUCAAUUUAGUAUUUGAUUUGAACUCAAAUUUCCUAUACAUUUGAAAAUUUUGAGAAUGAAUUAAAUAAAAUUCUUAGUCUUCAAAUUUGAGAAUAAGAUUUAUUUUUUUUUGGUUGAAUUUCGAUUAUUUAUUUAUUUAUUUUAUACGACACAUAAUAAAUUUGAUUUGUAUAGGCUUUUUAUAUUUCAUGAUAAGUCAUGAUAAAUUGAACUUAAGUGAAGUUCGAUACUUACCCAUUUAUAUGAAUAAAUUAUAAGUUCGGGAUACAAAUGAAUUAACUUUACAAACAAAGGUAAAACAUUCUCUCUCUCUCUUUCACCUUUUUUUUUAAUUAUUCUUUUUUAUUUUCUCCGCAGCAGAAGCAUAAAUUGGUUUCCCCCGCACACGGAAACCAAGAAACGUUUCUGCGCAUGGCUUCUGCCUUUGCUCAAAAACCAAAAGAUUGAUUUUUUGGUUUCUGCCAUUUUUUAUUUUUAUCUUUUAUUUUACUUUGAUUUAUUUAUUUUAUUUUUUUUUGGAUGUGACUUCUCUUUUUUUUUUUUCGUUCAUUCUUUUUUUUUUUUUUUUUUUUUUUUUUUUUUUUUUUUUUUUUUUUUUUUUUUUUUUUUUUUUUUUUUUUUUUUUUUUUUUUAAAUUCUAGUUCUCUCUCUCUGGAUUAUCUUUUCAUUUCGAUACCCUUUUUUUAUCAUUGUUGUUUUGACGAAAUUGAAUCUUACACUUUCCUUUUUCAGGGACUCAAUUUUUGGAGUGAAUCAAUGAUUUUGGGGUUCAAAAUUUUCUUCAUGUAGAUGUUAAUUUUUUUCGCAAUUAUUUUAUGAAUGCAGGAAAUAUAUGCUUAUAAAUAAACUCAAAAUUGCAAACCUUCAUACACAAUGAAGACCAAGGAUAGUCACUUUUCGCCAUUCGAUGCCUUUUUGUUGGGGACUAAGGACCAGCUCCUUCAACCGUCCAAGGCAUUUUGUGUUAACUACCAAUGACAUGUUCCUUUAACUGUUUAAGACACUUUAUGUUAAAGGACCAAGGACCUGUUCAUUCAACAGUCUAAGACACUUUGUAUUGAGGAUCAAGAACUAACUCCUUCAACUGUCCAUGGUACUUUGCAUUGAAAACCAAGGACCUGCUCUUUCUACGGUCCAAGGCACUUCAUGUUUGGAACCAAGGAUCUGCUCCCUCGAUCGUCUAAGGCACUUCAUGUUUGGGACCAAGGACUAGCUUCUUUGACCGUCCAAGGCACUUUGUGUUGAGAACCAAAGAUCUGUUCCUUCAACCGUCCAAGGCACUUUGUGUUAAGGACCAAGGACUGGCUCAUUCUAUCGUUCAAGACACUUUGUGUUAAGAACCAAUGACUUGUUCCUUCAACUGUCUAAGACACUUUCUCUUGAGGAACAAGGACCUGCUUCUUCAACUGUCAAAAACACUUUGUGUUGAAGAUCAAGGGCUGGUUCCUUCGACUGUCCAAAGCACUUUUUGUAGAGACUACUUACAUAUUUGGGAGACUCGUGAUUUUAGGCGAUAAACAAAUUCAAGAGAUUUACUUCCCCCUUUUUUUAGCUGACUUUUUUUUUUUUUUUUUGGCAAGCAUGGAUAGAACAAGUUCUAAUGAUAAAGCAUACUCUAACAUACACGAAAUUAUUGAGCUUAAAAAUUAAGACAAAAGUUAGAUAAAGUUUCAAAGAUACUGAUAUGAAGUACCAUGCCUAGACUGACGUACGUACUAGAUGAACUUAAAUUUAGUGUCCAUAAACUAAUGACAGAUUCUUCUCCUGAUCUUCUAAAGCCAUUGUCGAAGUUGCAUAUACCCAUCAUUAGUAAAUGUCGCGAGAGUUUGAAUACUGGCAAGUUCAGCCGCUCUAGCAGUCAUAUUUCUUUUUUGUGUCUUCUGCCUCAUCAUUUUCAAAGCAUGGAGUGCAUCCCAAAAGCUGUAAUUUGUGAGAGGAUUGAUAAUAGAGAAAUACAAUAGGGAAGCGCACUGACCAGUGGAUGAGAGAUUUCUUUUCUCCCAAAUUUUUGAGAACGGUCUUUAUGUGUCCAAAAACUUCUACUCAAAAGGAAUCUUAGCGAGUUAGCUUUUACAGUUAAUUCUGCUACAAAAAAUUAUCAUCGCCCAAACUCUAUUUAUAGAUCUCUUUGUGAAGUUUGGUGACCAAAAACCAACACCUUUGUGACUGCCAAUGGUGAAAGUCGCAUCUCUCUUUCGGACAUUCACGAGAUAAGUGCGCUUUCGAUUAUGGGUCGUUACUAUGAGGAAGUAGUCUCAUGCCUUUCAAAGUUGAUGGAUCAUCUUCCCAAGUCUUGUCUGUAUCUCUUUAAUGUUUUCACAUUGAUCGUCCAUGCAAAUGAAUAUGAUCGGGUUACUCACGAAAAUUGGAUUAGUUUUUGGUUUCACGAGAAUGGUUGUGUCCAUAAUCCUCGACAUCACAAAAUUAUAAGAAUGUUAUGAAUUUAAAUCAAUUCAAGAAGCGUCAUCAAAGAGCAUUGAAGGAAAUACGAAAGCUCGUGGUGGCAGACAAACCGAGAGACAUUACUCGUAGGGAUCGACGUCAUUGGAGCAAUCUGCUAGUAUCUCCGUCUAUGAAAAAAGAAGAGGAAUUGGAGAUAGUAGCUUACCUCUCUUUGUGGCUUUGUCGUUUCAUCCUCCCAUCUACGGACGAAUGUAUAAGAGUUGGAACUUUUAAACCAUCUUCUAGGAUGGCAAGCGAGUACACUUAUAGCCUGAUUCCACCCAUAUUAGCAAGCAUUUAUAAAGAAUUUACACGAACAUCUAACUAUCAGACAAACCCAUACCUUGGCUCAAUUUCACAUUCAUUUCCUGGUCAUUUUUUUUAUGCUUGGGCGACAACUUAUUAUGUCUAAGGUGUUUAUGCUCGUGUAAACAAAAGUUAUUCUCGCCCUAUAAUUCGAAAAUAUGUUGGCACUCUGAAUGGUUUUCAGUCUUGAGAGAAAAAUUUUGUUGAUUGUCGGGAUCUUAUCCGUAGAAUGAUGGACACCAAUGACUUUUGCUGAAAUCCGUUACCCUCAUAUCUCAUCCUGAUAUACGUGUAAAUGACCAACCGAGGUUUGCAAAUACUUCAGAAUUCAUGAUGAGUAUUCGAUCUGGAUUUGUUUCUUAUCGUCGAAGAAAUUCACCUUUCAUUUUUUAGGUUUAUAAUCCUCACAGGUCUGUGAGACAGCUUGAUUUUAGACAGAAACUUCCCGGCUCACCAAGAAAGUUAGGCAUUGCCCCCAAUGUAGGCGACAUGUAUCGCAUUUGGUUGUCUUUGACUCGGACGAAAAGUUGGUCUGUAUUUCAUAUUCCAGAGUAUGUGAGGGAUACAUAUCAAAACAUCGAUGUUGAAUACCAGACUUGGUGGAAUAGCGAAGCAUUACCACUCUAGACUAGGGUCCAGGUGCAAGUCUUAUUUUCUAGUUAAAGCCGUGACUUUGUUCUUGACCCGACUCCGAACAGGGUUAUAGCUAGAGGGUUAACCCUCCAAAUGUUGCUCCUCAAGAGGCUUUUCGAAAGAGGAAUCCAAACCAGCAAAAUGAAAGAGAUAUUAAGAGAAUUAAAAUUAUAGUUCCCUCUGUAAACAUUGCUGCCACCUUUGAGCCUGCUGAUAAAAUGUUGGAAGUGAUUUUGAUUUCAGAUCAUGGUAGUCCUGGAGAUCGAGCAUCCCAAGCACCGGGCAAAACUUUACCUCUAGAAGAUGAAAGUUCUAGAGAUCAGAUAUAGUUCUUUUUUUCUUUGUUCUUUUUAACUUAUUGCUUGUAUUUGAUUUCCUAUCACAAUCUUCAAUUUCAGGCUCCUCUUUCUCCAAUAUACAAAAUCAAACGACUAGUAGAACCGAGAUCGCUUGAAGCUAGUCCGAGUCCUUCAAAAUCGCUUCUGACAUCUUAUCAAAAGGCUCAGAGGUUAGCAGCAAACUUUGCUAAGGGAACCAUAAGUUUAGUUUUCUUAAUACCUCUUUCAUUUUAAUGGUUUGGUUCCCUCUUUCGAAAGUCUUUUCAGGAACAAUAUUUGAAGGAUUUAAUCAUCUAACCAUGAUCAUGUUCAGAGUUGGGUCAAGAACAAAGCCACGGCUCUCACUAGAAGAUAAGACCUGCACUUGGACCCUAGUCAAGAUUAGCAACACUUGGUUAUCCCACCAGGUCUGAUACUCAACAUUAACGCUUGAAUGUGUAUCCUUUAUAUAUUUUGGAAUAUGAAAUACAGACCCACUUAUCGUUCGAGCAAAAGACAACCAAACGCGAUACACGUCCCCUACAUUGAGGACAAUGUCCAACUUUCUACGUGAACUGGGAAGUUUUGUCUGAUACCAAGUUGUCACGCAAACUUGUAAGGAUUAUACAUCGCAAGAACGAAAGGUGAAUUUCCUAGGAGAUGAGAAAUAAAUCCAGAUCGAAUACUUAUCAUGAAUUUUGAAUUAUCCACAAACCUCGAUGGGUCAUCCACACGUAUAUCAGGAUGAAACGAUGAGGAAAAUGAAUUCUAGUAAAAGUCAUUGACGUCCAUCGUCCCAUGAAUAAGGUCCUGACAAUCAACAACAUUUUUCUCCCAAAAUUGGAAAGCAUUCAGAGUGCCAACAUACAUUCGGAUUGUAGGACGAGAAUAACUCUUCUCCACAUGAGCAGAAACACCUCGAACAAAAUAAGUUGCUGCUCAAGCAAAAAAAAUGUCUAGGAAACAAAUGUCAAAUUGAGCCAAGGUCUGGGUUUGAUUGAUAAUUACAUGUUCAUGUAAGUUUUCUAUAAAUGCUCGCUAAUACAAGUGAAGUAAGACUGUAAGUGUACCCGCCUACCAUCUAGAAGAUGCUUUAAAAGUCUCAACUCUUAUACUUCAUCCCCAAAUAGAAGAACAAAGCGAUAAAGUCAUAGGGAGAGGUAAGCUGCAAUCUUUAACUCCUCUUCUUCUUCAAUAGAUAGAGAUACUAGCAAAUUGCUCCAAUGACGCCGAUCCCUACCAAAAGUAUCUCUAGACUCGUCUACCACUAUGGACCUCCGUAUUUCCUUCAAUGUUCUUUAAUGACGCCUCUUGAAUAGAUUUAAAUUUAUAGCAUUUUUAUAAUUUUUGAGUUGUCGAGGUUUCUACGAGAAUUUUGGCCACAACCAUUCUUUUGAAACCAAAAAUAAUCCAAUUUUCAUGAGUAACCUAAUCAGAUUCAUUUGGAUUAACGAUCAAUGCAAAAACAUUAAAGAGGUACAAAUAAUGCUUGGGAAGGUGUUCCUCAUAGUAAUGACCCAUAAUCGAAAGUCCACUUAUCUCGCGGAUGUCCUGAAAAGAAAUGUCAAUUUCACCAUUAACAAUCGCAAAGGUGUUGCUCUCCGGACGCCAAACCUCACAAAGAGCUCUAUAAAUACAGUUUGAACGAUGAUAAUUAAUCUUUUGUAACAGAGCCGACAGCAAAAGCUAACUCACGAAAAUUUCUUUUGAGUAGAACUUUUUGGACCCAUAAAGACCACUCCCAAAAUUUUGAAAAAAAAAAAGAAAUCCCUCCUCGACUGGUCAGUACACUUCCCCAUUAUAUUUCUUUAUGGUCAAUCUUCUCACAAAUUAUAGCCUUUAGGAUGCACUCCUAAAAUAAUUGCAGCACGAAUAGGAUGCACUACUUACUAAAUUUUCGAACCGAUUUGAAAAUUUAGGAUAUUUAGUAAGUAGAACCGUCGAGUCCAAAUAUAAUAAUGAAAUCGUUCGGGUUCAAUUUCGUACCAUAAUUACAUUUUUUAACAUUUACAAUAACACUACAUAAAUACAACAAAUAUUAUAUUCAAUCAUAGCUUUCACAAAUUAACGAAGUCCAAUUCAAAAACAUAUAAAUAACAAGUUGUCCAAUAAAAUUAAUUUACCAACAUAUACAAAUACCAAAAAGUAAAUACUAAUACUAAAAUAUUGACGAUCCAUACCAAAAGCUAAGCUAGGGCUUAGGAGAUGAAGUAUCAAUCAAUCACCUAAUUAGUUAAUUUAUUUUAAAAAAUUAAAAUAAUUUAAUUUCUUCAAUAUAAAAAAAUUAGGAAUAUUUGGUUCUUGGUUAGAAUCGAGAACCAAAUCGUACCCGUCGAUUCUCGAUUCAAAUAUCCGUUCGGGUAUUUAAUUUGAGAAGAACUGUUGAGUUCGGUUCAAAAGGUUUGCCCAGCCCUAGCGAAAACCAAGGAAAAAACAUAUAAAAAAGGGAAAACGAGUAAGAGAGAAAAAAAUCUUUACCUUUCUUUCAUAUAUAUAUAGGCAGGUAUGAGACUUCACUUAAGCCCAGCUUACCAUAAAUGCUUGUUCAAAUUAAAAUAUUUUAUGGAUUCUAUAAAAUAAAUAAAUAAUCAAAUAACAUAAAAAAAUUCUUAUUCCCAAAUCUGAAUGAUAAAUUUUUUUUAUCAAAUUCACAUUUUAAUUUCAAAUGUUUCAUCUGUAUUAAUUUACUAAUGGAAAGUUUGAGUUAAAAAAUUCAAACAAAAAAAUCGAAAAUCAAGAUUUAUUAUUUUAUUUAUUUCAUAAUAAAUAAAUAAAUAUUGAGAAGACAUUUGUAGACAUAAAAUAAUAAAAAUAAAUAAAGAAAAUGGUUUGCAUUAAUUUAAAUCAUUAGCCUAAUUAAAUUGAAGUUUACUAAAGUACAUAAAAACCCAAAGGCCCAUCUCAUUUUUUUUAAAUGAAUAAAAUCAUAAUUACUCAAUUAUUCAUUUUUAAUUAAAGAUAAUUGAGUGAUUGCCAAAAUUAACACAAAUUUUUCUUUAUAAAUAAGAUCAAUGGUUCAUAAGAGAGGAGGAAAAAAAGCAAGGAAGAAGGAGAAAAGCAAAGGGAAUGAACACAGAGGAAACAAUUAUGAAGUGUUGAAAAAUUUCAAAGUCGGAAGAAGAGAAUAAAUCCCUUCAAUCUAAAUUCGGUGAACCUCAAGAAGAUCAAAAUCUUCUUCGAAUCAAAAGUGUUCAAACUAAGUCUAAAAAAAUCAAAAUCCUUUUCAUAUCAAAUCAAGUGCGAGACAGGUCAAGUAUCAACAGUCAUAAAGACAUCUAGCAAGGGGUGUAAAAAAUCAUGUCUAGAACCAAUGUGCUAAUUUAACAGUGAGUGAAAAGCAUUAAGCACUUUAAGGCACCUCUUGACGUGGAUUAUUACCAUUGUUAUUUUUAAUUCCUUUCUUUUUUUUUUUACACUAAAUAAAAUUUUCAACUAUUAGGUACCCUUUCGAAAGUUUACAACAAAAUCUUUAGAGUUGCCUUAUAUAUCUCAGUGGAACAACUUUUUAAACAUUUCAAUCUAGUAGCUAAAAAUUAAGACAUUUAUAAUUAUUAAGUUUUGGACCUUUCAAUCCAAUUGAUGUAGUAAAAAAAAUUAAGAAAAUAUUAAUAAUUCGUGCCAAGGAGUGCCUUCAAGAGCAUUGAUCACUAAAUUUGCACAUAGGUCCAACCAUUUGUGUUCGAAAUGGUGUUAAGAAGAUAUCAAUGGACAUUUCCAGAUAUAAUACUCAAAAGAAACAACACAAUACACCUCAUCGAUUAGAUUUGAGAAAAUUCUAUCCCUAUUGUUACAAACAUAUGAUUCAUAGGGAAAUAAAAAAAUAGAUCGAACAGAGUCUGCCUUAAGGACUGCUCUCUUUGUGUUUCAAAUUUUAGUUUUGAAUUUUGAAUUCAUUUUGAAUUUUAUGUUUUGAGUGCCCAUUUUAAUAUAGUUGAAAACGCGUUCUUUUUAUCAUUUUGAAAAAUUGUUUUCAAAAAUAAAAAAAAUUAAAAAACGCAUUUACUUUUUAGUUUUGAAAAACUGUAAAAGCAAUUAUUCAACAUAUAUAUAGUUUAUUUACUUAUAUAGCAAAGCAAAAGUGGUUGUCAUAGUGGUUAAGACAUUAAAAUUCCAUGCUAGUGAUCAGGGUUCGAAUCUCAACCACCUACCACUUUAUUUGAAAGAUUUUUGUAUUGUGCAUUAAAAAUAAUAAAAUUUAAAACAAAAAUCUUUUGUAUUGAAAGUUGGUUGGUAAAAUCGAACCCGUGACCAUGUCAAAAUCCUUGACUCUACCAACUAAGCUAUCCGGCUAUUGAUAAAGAAAAGCAUGAAAUUUAAUUGAAAUUUCUUGUACUAUGCAUAUAAAAAGAAAAUUCCUUUGUAUUAAAUUGCAAUGAAACGGAAUUGAACUCGUGACCUUAAGAAAAUUCGUGACUCAACCAACUGAGCUAUCCUACUAUUUGCGAAAAUACCGCGUUUUCCGCAUUUUGAAGUUUUGGCUUGAUUUCUACUAAAAACAGCCAAAACGACUAAAAGGCUGUUUUGCUUUUUCUUUGUAAUUUUUUUCCGUGUUUUCAAAAUUCAUUUCUGAAAAUAGGUAAGUAAACGUAUUUUCAGUGUUUUCAAAAAUUAAAAACUAAAAAUGGUCUGGAAACAACAAAGAAAACAGGCCCUCAGUAUUUCAAGGAAGGGUAAAAAUGACAUUACAUAUAACAUAUUUAAAUAGAAAAUAAAAAAUAAAUCCUAUCUGGUAUUAAAAUGGGCUCAAACUUUGGCGAGGCACCAUUUAACACACUUACUAGUUGUAUUGGCCAUGCUCUUCUACAAAUUUGUUCACAACCAAAUUAUGAUCGAUUUAUUAUUUGACCACAGAUAAUUUAAGUGUCGUUUGAUUGCAAAAAUGUAAUUGCAUUGAAUUGAAAACGAAUUCCAAGAAAUUUGAAUUACGUAGAAAUUAUUUUGUUAGGAAUUAUAAGUUAUUGUGUUUGAUUAGUAUAAUUUUCCACAUGAAAAAUUUUAAAAUAAAAAUAUUUUUUGGUGUUCGUUUAACUUUGUUUUACAUGAAAAUUGUCAAUUAAAAAGAUAGAUUUGACUGGUAUUAAGAAUGAAAUUUGUUUCCAUUGCCAACCAUAACAAAAAACAAAAAAUUCAAAAAAAUUAUCUAUCUUUUAGUGUUCGUUUGGUUUUAUUUUACAUAAAAAUUUUCAAUUAAAAGAAAAUAUUUUAUUACAAUAAUUCUUAGAAUUGGUUUUCAUUGCCCAAAAAAAAUAUUUAAAAAAAAUGAAAAAAUAACAAAAAGCUAUAGUAGGCUAAAAUUUGAAUUCUCACCAAUAUGCUACAGUAGACUAAAAUUUGAAUUUUCAAGAAAUCUAAGAAAUUCAAUUUCAUGGUAAAUAUAAGCUUCAAACACCCUUUUUGUGGAAGUUAGAAUCCAAAUUCUAUUUUCUAGGGAAAAUUUUGUUGAAUCAAACGGUGCCUAAUGUUACAUCCAACUCUUGUACUCUCACAAUUUCUUUCUCCCACCAGGGCAAAAGAUUUUAUCUCCUCUAGCAUUAUUUGUUUUCCUUUCCUUUCAUAUCACAAAUAAUUUUCAGCAAGUUUCGUUUGAUUCCUUAUUCUUUUUACUAUUUGUUAUUCGUGUUUUGCUCAAAGGAAGGGAUCAUAGAUGAUACUAGAGGAAACAUAAAAUCUUCCACCCUGAGUUGGGGAAAGAAAUCGUGGAAGUACACAAGGCUAAUGAAAUGUACAUAUUUUCUUAGAACACGGAUGAAAGACUUAGAUACUAUGAAUCUAAUGAAAAUUUCAGGGAAAACAGACUUAUGCUCAGAAAACAUGAAAUUUCUUCUCAUGGAUCUAUUUAAAAAUCUCUGAAGUCAGACAUCUAAAAUUUUUUUUUCAUAAAUCAUCACAGCAGAAGUAAGAGAACUAAACCAACAAAUAGGCAUUUACCUAAACCAAAAAAUAGGCAGAUACCUCAAUUAAUUAAAUCAACAAAUCUAAAAUAAACGAAAUUACAGCAACUCUCACACUCAACAAAAUUUAUCUGCUCGUGUUUCAUAUCAGAAUAGCGUAUAUUGCCUUGUAAUAAAACAGGAAAUCAUACCGCCGCUACAAUUAAUUUUACAGCAGAUCCAGAGAGAAGGAAAAUUGAUUCUUAUUUUAUUAUUAUCACUAAAUUUGAGUAAAACUCUGAGGAAAUUUUAAUGAUAUAAGAGGAGAUCAGAGAUUGGUAGGGUUUAUCAAUCACCGUUUAGUCAGAAACACGGACCAAAGAAGUUAUUCGUCAUAUCUCCUGAUUCAUUAAAAAGAAAAACUUCUAUUUUACCAAAAUAACGUAAAAUAAAAUAAAAUAAAAAAUUAUAAAUAAAAUCAUGAGAAAGGAUUUCGAAACUAAUGAGAUAGGAAAUCAUCAGAGACUUAAAUACAAUGAAUCACGGAAAAUUAACGUAUCAUAUUGUUGCAGUUUUUUUCUCAUCACCUGAUUUCAAUUGCGCAAAACAUAUAAAGAAAUCAAAAAAUAAUCGAGAGAGAUAAACAGAACGAGUAGAGGAUUAAGACAAACCCUAACAGAAGAUUCGAGAACGAUGUAUUGAGUGCUGUUGAUCUGUGCCAUAGAAACCAAUUGAGAAAACGCCUCUGCAUAUAAAAGGGCUU